rnacentral:tRNA from 1 species
GCGCCGUUGGUCUAAUGGUUAGGAUUCGUCCCUCCCACCGGACGAGGUCGGGGUUCGAUUCCUCGGCGGCGCA